rnacentral:rRNA from 1 species
CCUACGGGAGGCAGCAGUGAGGAAUAUUGGUCAAUGGCCGUAAGGCUGAACCAGCCAAGUAGCGUGCAGGAUGACGGCCCUAUGGGUUGUAAACUGCUUUUGUACGGGAAUAACGGUCCCCACGUGUGGGGGUGUGCAUGUACCGUGCGAAUAAGGAUCGGCUAACUCCGUGCCAGCAGCCGCGGUAAU